rnacentral:ncRNA from 1 species
CGACCUCAGAUCAGACGAGAUUACCCGCUAAAUUUAAGCAUAUCAAUAAGCGGUGGAAAAGAAACGAAAACGAAUUCUCCAAGUAGCGGCGAGCGAAACGAGAAAAGUCCAUACACCGAAGUCGGCGAGCAGUUGUGUUCGUCAACAGUGUGGUGUUAAAGGUGUCGUUGCAUGUGCUGAAAUCAGUUCGUAGGCUCCCUUGAUUGGGGCUUCAGAGCGGGUGCAGACCCAUAACGAACGAUGUUUUGUGCAUGAAUAAAAAUGAACCUCGAUAAAUCUAAUUUAAACUGAGUGCAGUUAAUUGAAAAAAUUUUUCACCACAACAGCUUACUACUUAUCAUGAGCAUUUUCUUUUAUUAGCAUUUAUUUGGAUAAUUUAAGUGAAAUAUGUUUGGAGAAAAUGAGUGCCAUUUAUAAUGUUAACAGUGAAACAUUUGACAGAGCAGACAAUAUCUGAAUGGAUCCAAUACGUCUUCGCUUGAUUUGAAGUAGUCAUUC